rnacentral:lncRNA from 1 species
AUUGGUUCCUUAGAGGGUAAUUUAUUUACUCUGCCACCAGUCCCAAGGGAGAUCUUUGAUCCUAGUCCACAUUUAAACUUAGGAUGGGGGAAAGUGGCCUAAGUGACCUCUCCAUCUUCUGGAUUUCUCCAAUAAUUGAAGAUUUCUACUUUGUGACUCUGGAGAUCCACUUCUGCUAUCUAAACCCUUACCUGGGCUUCCCUCAGCCUUGUCCCUGGCUUGUAGCUCCAGAGUUCAUCAAAGUUGUGUCUUCCUUUACAAUUUGUCUUGGCCCUUUC